rnacentral:misc_RNA from 1 species
AACCAUAGAAACCUGCGGAGUACCUGCGGAAGGAUCAUUACCGAGUCUUCGUACUCAAAACAACCCUUCUGUGGACCUGAAUAAAACCGUUGCCUCGGCAGGCGGCCCUACCUACGGGCCAGAUAGUUCGGCUGCCCCCAGGGAGGAAACCCUCCCUGAGGUGCUGGCGCCAGCCGCUGGCCCCAAACCAAAACUCUAGUAACUUUUACCUUCUGAGUUUUAAUGCAAGAAAUAAGUCAA